rfam:Gossypium arboreum cultivar AKA8401 contig_1290_15, whole genome shotgun sequence.
AUUCCGUGAUAAGGACAGCUCCUUAAUAGCAACUUAAAUCUUUCCCAAGCCUUAUACAAAGUUUCACCCUCCUUCUGCUUAAAAUUCACAAUAUCGCACCUGAGUUA